CUUACUCCUAUUUCGAUCCAACCUAAUCUCCGGCGCCCACGAUGAGACGACCUGACAGACGUCAAACGCGUGAAGUUGGUAUUAGCGCUACGUUUUCUGAACGUUUGGUAAUGUAAUUUUCUGCAAAACUUUAUAUAUAUACUUUAUUGCACUUAACAACAGAAUAUACAGAAAAUUACAUGUAUAGUUGAUGGCAAAGGUGGACUUAU
rnacentral:misc_RNA from 1 species